rnacentral:lncRNA from 10 species
CAAAGGCACCAAGAAUACACAAUGAGGAAAGGACAAUGUCUUCAAUAAAUGAUGCUGGGAAAACUGGAUACCACAUGUAGAAGAAUGAAAUUAAACUCUCUCAUCUUUUAUAAGAAAAAAUCAAUUCAAAAUGGAUUAAAGACCUCAAACUGUGAAACUUCUAGAAGAAAACAUAGGGGGAGACCUUCAUGACAUUGUUCCAGGCAAUGAUAUGACCUAAAUAGCAUAAGUAACAAAAGCAAAAAUAGACAAAUGGAAUUACAUCACACUGAAAACUUUCUGCACAGCAAGCGAUCAACAGGGUGAAGACAUACCCUACAAAAUGGGAGAAAAUGUUUGCAAAGUAUGUAUUUGAUAAGGGAUUAAUAUCCAAAAUAUAUAAGGAACUGAAAUAAUGCAAUAGAAACAAAUAACUGGAUUUUUUAAAUGGGCCAAAGACCUCAAUAGCCAUUUCUCAAAGAAGACAUAUAAAUGGCCAACAGGUAUAUGAAAAAAAUGCUCAACAUCACUAAUCAUAAGGGAAAUACAUAUCAAAACUACAAGGAAAUAUCACCUCCUGUUAGAAUUGCUAUUAUCAAAAAAAAAAGAUAAGUGUUGGCAAGGAUAUGAAGUAAAGGGAACCCUUACACACCAUAAGUAGGAAUAUAAAUUAGUACAGCCAUUAUGGAAAACAGUAUGGAAGUGCCUCAAAAAAUUACAAACUGAACUACUGUAUGACAACAUAUGAUUGAGCAAUCCCACUACUGGGUCUAUAUCCAAAGAAAAUAAAAUCAGUAUGCUGAAGAUAUCUGUUCUCCCUUGUUCAUUGCAGCAUUAUUCACAAUAGCUAAGAUAUGGAAGCUAAGCGUUCAUCAGUGGCUAAAUAAAGAAAAUAUAUGUAUACACAAUGGAAUACUUACUAUUCAGCCUGUAAUUUGUGAUAACAGAUGAACAUGGAGGAUGUAUGUUUAGCAAAAUGAACCAGACACAGAAAACUACCAUCUGAUUUCCCUCAUAUGUGGAAUCUAAGAAGUUGAUCUCAGAAGUAGAGACUAGAAUGGUGGUUACCAGAGGGUUGGGUGGUUAGUGGGCUUGGGGAGUUGGGGAGAUGUUGGCAAUGAGUACAUAUUUACAAUUAGGAGAAAUAAGUUCAAGACAUCUAAUGUACAGCAUUAUCUUGCUAAUGUACAGUAAGAUGACAUUAACGAUGUAUUGAAAAAUAUUUAGAAUGGAUGUUGUGUUCUCACAAAUAUAUCAGAUAAUGCAUAUGUUAAUUAGCUAGAUUUAACCAUUCUGCAAUGUAUAUAUAAAGAACAUCAUGUUGUACAUGAUAAAUACGAUUUUAUAUGUCAAACAAAUUUGAAAAGGAAAAUGGAAAAAAUGCAUAUAUAGGAGGAUAGCAGACAUGACAACAUCUGGAUAAUAGCAUUAUACAGGACAGAAAGAUUAAAAUGGAGAUGAAAAAUUAUUAGAAUAAAUAUUGGAGACAAAUUUCUCAUUAAAGAAAGAUAAACUACUUCAAAUUCAGUGUUCAGAGAGUACUAAGUAGAAGAGGUGAGAACCCAUACCUAGACAUAUAAUGACAUCUCCAAACAUCUCAGCGGUUUUGCCACAAAGGAUUCAUUUUAAAAACAUUUUUGGAGGAACUGUUUAAAUAAGAGAAAUAGAACCAGCAGAUGUUGGCCUGGACCACUUUACUACCUUGCUAACAUGUCUCACUCCUUCACCCCACUUUAGGAACUUAGUGUAGCUCAGAAUCUUUUUAUUAUUCACACACAUUUGAAUAAAUUCUCGGCUAAAUAUAAAAUUUGUUUCAAAGUAAUUUUCCAGCAAUCCUGAGCAAAAAGAACAAAACUGGAGACAUCACAUAACCUGACUUCAAAAUAUGUUACAAAGCUAUAGUAACCAAAACAUCAUGGUAUUAGUAUAAAAAUAAACACAUAGACCAAUGGAACAGAAUAGAGGAUCCAGAAAUAAAGCCAUGUAUUUGCAGCCAGCUGAUCUUCAACAAAGCCAACAAGAUCUUACACUGGGGAAAAAAGACUAUCUUCAACAAAUAGUGCUGGGAAAAUUGGAUGGCCACAUGCAGAAGAAUGAAACUGGACCCCUUACCUCUCACCAUACACCAAGUAAAUUCAAAGUGCAUUAAAGACUUUAAAUAUAAGACCCAAAACUAUAAAAAUACUAGAAGCAAAUCUAGGGAAAACUCUCUUGGAUAUUGUUCUAGGCAAAGAAUGUAUGACUUAAGACCUCAAAAGCACAGGGAACAAAACCAAAAACAGAAAAAUGGGACUUAAUUAAACUAAAAAGCUUCUCUACAGCAGAAUAAAUGAGUGAAGAGACAACCUAUUAAAUGGGAGAAAAUAUUUGCAAGCCAUUCAUUUGACAGGUGACUAAUAUCCAGAAUACACAAGGAACUCAAACAACUCAACAGUUAACAACAAAAGAAUAAAAAAGUGGACAAAGGACAUAAUAGACAACUCUCAAAAGAAGACAUACAAAUGGCCAAGAGGUAAAAGAAAAAUGCUUAACACCACUAAUCAUCAGGUAAAUGCAAAUCAAAACCACAAUGAGAUAAUAUCUUACCCUAGUCAGAAUGGCUACCAUUAAAAAGACAAAAAAAAAUGCUGGCAAGAAUGCAGAGAAAAGGGAACUCUUAUUCACUGUGGGUGGGAAUGUAAACUAGUACAACCACUAUGGAAAACAGCAUGGAGAUUUCUCAAAAAACUCAAAUAGAAUUACCAUUUAAUCUAGCAGUCCCACCACUAGGUAUCUACUAAAGGAAAAUGAAGCAAUAUAUCAAAGGAAAACCUGCAUUCACUUGUUUAUUACAGCAGUAUUCAUAGUAAGGCUUGUGCCUCUCUGGGAUGAAGCUUUGAGAGAAAGAAACAGGUAGCAAUAUUUGCUGUUCUGCAGGCUCUGCAGGCUCUGCAGACCCAGGCAAACAGGGUCUGGAGUGGACCUCCAGCAAACUCCAGCAGACCUGCAGAAGAGGGGCCUGACUGUUAGAAGGAAAACUAAUAGAAAGCAAUAAUAUCAACAUCAACAAAAAGGAUGUCCAUGCAAAAACCCCAUCCAAAGGUCCUCAGCAUCAAACAUCAAAGGUACAUAAAUCCAUGAAGAUAAGGAAAAACCAGUGCAGAAAUGCUGAAAAUUCCAAAAACCACAAUGCCUCUUCUCUUUGAAAGGAUCACAACUCCUCACCAGCAAGGGACCAAAACUGGAUGGAGAAUGAGUUUGAUGAAUUGACAGAAGUAGGCUUCAGAAGGUGGGUAAUAACACUCCUCUGAGCUAAAGGAGCAUGUUCUAACCCAAUGCAAGGAAGCUAAGAAACCUUGAUAAAAGGUUAUAGGAAAUGCUAACGAGAAUAACCGGUUUAGAAAAGAACAUGAAUGACCCAAUGAAACUGAAAAACACAGCAUGAGAAUUUCAUGAAGCAUACACAAGUAUCAGUAGCCAAAUUGGUCAAGCGGAAGAAAGGAUAUCAGAGAUUGAAGAUCAACUUAGUGAAAUAAAGCGUGAAAACAAGAUUAGAGAAAAAAUGAAAAGGAAUGAACAAAGCCUCCCAAGACAUAUGAGACUAUGUGAAAAGACCAAACCUACGAUUGAUUGGUGUACCUGAAAGUGAUGGAGAAUGGAACCAAGUUGGAAAACACACUUCAGGAUAUUAUCCAGGAGAACUUCCCCAAAUUAGUGAGACAGGGCAACAUUCAAAUUCAGGAAAUACAGACAACACCACUAAGAUACUCCUUGAGAAGAGCAACCCCAAGACACAUAAUUGUGAGAUUCACCAAGACUGAAAUGAAGGAAAUAAUGUUAAGGGCAGCCAGAGAGAAAGGUCAGGUUACCCAUAAAGGGAAGCCCAUCAGACUUAACAGUGGAUCUCUCUGCGGAAACGCCACAAGCCAGAAGAGAGUGGGGGCCAAUAUUCAACAUUCUUAAAGAAAAUAACUUUCAACCCAGAAUUUUAUAUCGAGACAAACUAAGCUUGAUCAGUGAAGGAGAAAUAAAAUCCUUUCCAGACAAGCAAAUGCUGAGGGAUUUUGUCACCACCAGUCCUGCCUUACAGGAAUUCCUGAAGGAAGCACUAAAUAUGGAAAGGAAAAAAUCAGUACCAGCUACUGCAAAAACAUGCCAAAAUAUAAAGACCAAUAACACUAUGAAGAAACUGCAUCAACUAAUGUGCAAAAUAACCAGCUAACAUCAUGACAACAGGAUCAGAUUCACACAUAACAAUAUUAACAAUAAACGUAAAUGGGCUAAAUGCCCCAAUUGAAAGACGCAGACUGGCAAAUUGGAUAGAGUCAAGACCCAUCGGUGUGCUGUAUUCAGGAGACCCAUUUCAUAUGCAAAGACACACAUGGGCUCAAAAUAAAGGGAUGAAGGAAUAUUUACCAAGCAAAUGGAAAGCAAAAGAAGCAGGGUUUGCAAUCCUAGUCUCUGAUAAAACAGACUUUAAGUCCAGGACCAGAUGGAUUCACAGCCGAAUUCU